rnacentral:misc_RNA from 1 species
AACGCACAUUGCGCCCUUUGGUAUUCCGAAGGGCAUGCCUGUUCGAGCGUCAUUAUCAACCAUCAAGCUCUGCUUGGCAUUGAUUGUCACCCCCCUCCCCGGGGGGCGCGAUCUAAACUGGUCGGCUGUGGUCUGUGAACCGUUGGCGUUAGUAAAAACUUCCCGCUACUCGGUAACAGGUCGCAAGCCUCCAAAACCCAACACCUCAAGGUUGACCUCGGAUCAGGUAGGGAUACCCGCUGAACUUAA